rnacentral:rRNA from 1 species
UGGGGAAUAUUGCACAAUGGGGGAAACCCUGAUGCAGCGACGCCGCGUGAGCGAAGAAGGCCUUCGGGUCGUAAAGCUCUUUUAUAUGGGAAGAUAAUGACGGUACCAUAAGAAAAAGCCCCGGCUAACUACGUGCCAGCAGUCGCGGUAAUACGUAGGGGGCUAGCGUUGUCCGGAAUCACUGGGCGUAAAGGGUUCGCAGGCGGAAAUGCAAGUCAGAUGUAAAAGGCAAAGGCUCAACCUUUGUAAGCAUCUGAAACUGUAUAGCUUGAGAAGUGUAGAGGCAAGUGGAAUUUUUAGUGUAGAGGUGAAAUGCGUAGAUAUUAAAAAGAAUACCGGUGGCGAAGGCGACUUGCUGGGCACAAUCUGACGCUGAGGAACGAAAGCGUGGGGAGCAAACAGG